rnacentral:rRNA from 1 species
CAUGAAGCUGGAAUCGCUAGUAAUCGCAGAUCAGAAUGCUGCGGUGAAUACGUUCCCGGGUCUUGUACACACCGCCCGUCACACCAUGGGAGUUGGAAAUGCCCGAAGCCAGUGACCCAACCGUAAGGAGGGAGCUGUCGAAGGUGGAGCCGAUGACUGGGGUGAAGUCGUAACAAGGUAGC